UACGUAGUGUGCAAGCGUUACUCGGAAUUACUGGGCGUAAAGCGUGCGUAGGUGUUUCGUUAAGUCUGAUGUGAAAGCCCUGGGCUCAACCUGGGAAUGGCAUUGGAAACUGGCGGACUGGAGUGCGGUAGAGGGUAGCGGAAUUCUCGGUGUAGCAGUGAAAUGCGUAGAGAUCGGGAGGAACAUCCGUGGCGAAGGAGGAUACCUGGAUCAGCACUGACACUGAGGCACGAAAGCGUGGGGAGCAAACAGG
rnacentral:rRNA from 1 species